rnacentral:lncRNA from 1 species
UCCCCCUCUCCCUUUCUCUUUGGCCUAUGCGACUCUCUCUUCCUCAUUCUCUCUCCCAGCACAAACUCAAGCCUCCCUCUCCCAUUAGUCGGACCAUUGAAAUUCUCUCUCCCUCUCUCACUGGAAUUGAUCAAGUUUCUCUCUCUCUAUCCCACCGAUUGAAGCAUUGUUAACCCUAUAGCUCUCCACAUCUCUAUCAUCGAAAUUUCGUGCCCCACCUCUCUCUUUCUGAUUGGAAGAUAGC